CCUCUCACCAUGCGGUGUAAAGCUUCCCCGUUUCUAAAGAACGGCAGGUCGCAUCUCACAAACUCUGUCGAACAACGUCGGCCACCGAAACCCGAUGGUCGUUUACUUCAGUCGUCACACAAACCAAGGUAACCAUCCACUCUCUCUCCUUCCUAUCUCUCUCGGCCGAAAGGACCAAACCCCGGGCAAACCACCACAUGCAGCGGCCCUACUGUGGCUGAUGACUCCACUCUCAACACUAGCCGAAACUCAACUCUCACAAAAAAAUAAAUUAAACUGAGAGCCCCACUCCAAAACACACAAAAGCUCUCCUUAGGUAAUGGGUUACUCUCUCCCUCCCUUAAACUCUCUAUUCACGUCGACAGAAACCAAAGAGGGACAAACACAAUUGUAGAUUAGCAGCCUCCUACCCUUGGUGCUGGCCGAUUGAACCUUAAAUCGGCCUUAAACCGACCAAACCCCUUAUUCUCAUCUAAAACUAGGGAAACCACAACCUAAAACAACCUCUAUUUUUGCAAGCUCUUCCCCGACCGAUCGACUUCUGACUCCAACGAUGAGCUUGAACUUCCGAGAAGCAAUGGCAACUAAGGUAAAAAAAAAUACCUUUCUUUCUCUCUAUAUUUUUUGUUUCGAAAAAAAAGAGAAAAAGCUCUGCAAAAAAAUUUGAUACCUUCCCAAAAGUUCUUUUUUUCUACAAUGUUCUUUUGUAUAUUGCUUGUAUUUUUGAAUGUGACAAAAUCUGUUACAAUAUGGCUUACGAUUUCUCAACUCCGACAACUACAACCCUGGCGAUGGAGAAACACUAAGGCUAUUGCUGCCGCGUAUUUGGUGCUGCCGUGGUGAGCUGGCCGGUGAUGGCUUGGUAGAGUGCAGCAACGGGUGCAAAGGGGAACCACAUAUGGUUUGGUUAACUCAGUGAACUAGAGGAGGAAGUAUUCAUGGAUCUUCCAUCAGGAUUUGAGAAGAAGUUUGAGAACACAAGAUAUGCAUAUUGAAUAAAUCUUUGUAUGGGCUCAAACAAUCUUCUUGCGCAUGGUUUGAGAGGUUUGGAAAGGUGAUUAAAAAUAUGGAUAUAUUCAGAGUCAAGCUGAUCAUAUUAUGUUCUACAAACAUUCAGAGACCGAUAAACUUGCUAUACUUAUUGGCAAUGUCGAUGGUAUUAUUCUUACAGGAGAUGAUGCUAAGGAAAUUGAGAAAUAAAAAUGAAAAUUGGCCACAGAAUUCAAGAUUAAAAAUCUGGGGGCUGUAAAGUACCUUUUUUGAUAUUGAAUUUGUGAGAUAAAAGGAGGAGAUUUUUAUUAAUCAACGGAAGUAUGUACUCGACUUGCACAGUGAAACUGGAAUGCUUGGGUGCAAAGCAAUUGAAACCCCAAUUGAACAAAAAAAAGGUUACAAGUGACAAAUGAAACAGAUGAUGUUAAUUAUACACUCGUCCUGAUAUAACUUUUGUUGUUAGUAUGGUAAGUCAUUUUAUGCACUCUCCAAAUGCGCAUAACUUUGAAGCCGUGUAUUGAAUCCUUAGGUAUCUGAAGGGAACGCCUGGAAGAGGACUAUUGUUCAAUAAAAAUGAGCACUUACAAAUAGAAGCAUUUACAGAUUCAGAUUGGCUGGGAGUAUUAUAAAUAGAAGGCUAACCUUUGGGUACUGUAGUUUUCUAGGAGGAAAUUUAGUAACCCAAAAGAGUAAGAAGAAAAGUUUCAUGGAAAGAAAUAGUGUUGAAAUUGAAUUCAAGUCUGUGGCUCAUGGGAUAUGUGAAGUUCAAUGGAUUAGAAGAAUUCUUGAGGAGAUAAAAUUCAUAGUCCAACAUGAAUAAAGGUGUAUUGUGAUAAUAAGUCUGAAAUCGCCAUUGCACCACAAUUUUAUCCUUCAUGAUCAAACCAAACACACAGCUAUAGACAAGCACCACAUUAAGGAAAAUAUUGACAUAUGAGAUAUUUGCAUGGUGUACAUUCCUUCCAACAACC